rnacentral:sRNA from 1 species
GGUAGGUAGAUUGUUGGUGUGUCGCGCGGGGCGGGGUGGUUAUGCUGCUGUGUCUCUGCGGGGACACACGGAGGAGGGGUGAGUGGAUGGCCCAACGGAAAUGAGAUAGGUAUUAAGUUAGGCAGAUAGGAAAUGAUGGAAUCACAGCAAGAGAGGAUUUCCUCUGACCAGGCCGGCUAAAGCGGUGCCCGGAAGCAGCGUUAUAGCCUCAUCCGUGAGCAUCAACUAUCCAUGACAAGCAUUUAGCCCAGGGCUGACGGAGCAGGAAAACACUGUAUAACGGAAAAGAAGGACGCAAGCAAAAUGGGCGU